rnacentral:lncRNA from 1 species
GGAGGCUGAGGCAGGAGGACUGCUGUGAGUUGGAGGCCCGUGAGGACCGCAGAGUGCGUUUUAGGCCACAUACGACUGUAGAGUGAGACACCAGGAAUUAAACAGUACAGAUUAUGUGUAUACUAGUUACAUUUCUGUUGCUGAGAUUAAAAUACCAAAAACCAAAAGCAAUUUACAGAAGAAGAAUUUUAUUUGGGCUUAAAGUUCCAGAGGAGUAAAAGCCAAUCAUGGCAGGGAGGUGUGGCAACAAGCAGCACGAACUGUGGCGGAAGCAGAAGGCUGAGAGAUUACGUCUUCAGCUAAAAAGCUGCCAGGGCAACCGAACAAACGAACGAAGGGUCACGAACAACGUGGGCUGAGGCUCUAGACUUCCAAACCCCACCCACCCAGUGACACACUUCCUCCAGCGAGGCUCUGCCUCCUAAAGGCGCUACAACGCCACAGCGCCGCCAACUGGGGACCAGGGUUGCUCUGUGUAUGCUUGGCUGUCCUGGACUCACCCACUCUGUAACCAGACUGGCCUCAAGCUCACAAAGAUUUCUGUCCCUGAGUGCUGGGAUUAAAGGUGUGUGUCACCACUGCCCAGCCUGUGACUUCUUUCUUUUCUUUUUAAAGAUUUAUUUCAUGUAUGUGAGUACACUGUAGCUGUCUUCAGAGACACCAGAAGAGAGCCUCGGAUCCCAUUACAGAUGGUUGUGAGCCACCAUGUGGUUGCUGAGAUUUGAACUCAGGACCUCUGGAAGAGAAGUUGGUGCUCUUAACCUCUGAGCCAUCUCUCCAGCAUAAAGUCCUAGGUUAGGUGCC